rnacentral:misc_RNA from 1 species
GUGGUUCAAAAAGAAAUAUUUUUUUAAAAUUUUUGUAGAAAGUGAAAAUGGUUCAUUUUGGUAAAUAAGGCUAAUUAGAAUGGACGUCUUUUGGUACAAAUUGAAUCAUUUUCCGCUGUGUUGACAUUGUUUGAUAAUCUUAAUCCUGUUUGUGAGAUGCCAGCAUUCCACCAUCCAGUAUCGUAUCCCCAGUACCAGCUACGCACUCUCUGCAUUCACCCAGGUGAGGAGAUUAAUAGUAUCGCGAACCCGGAGCUGUAUUCCGGAAGUCAAAUACCUAGACUUUGUUGUUACAAGAUCCAAAUAUCGACGGGGUACGAGACAGUCUAUCUGGGACAGCGUGUUUGUUUGUCUGUCUGUUCGUCAGGAAUUGGAUACAGUACAGCCGUCAGGAAUUGGAUACAGUACAGUAGCGCCGUAAAGCAGAUUAACGCAGCCAGUAGUUAUAUUGAUGGCAGCUUUGUCUACGGGAAAACCGGAGUACGAGCCAGCUAUUUACGUCAUCAAGGAACCGGAAAACUAGCGUCCCUGGACUUGUGGGAGAAAUUUCCGGUCCUGAAUACAGUCAGACUUCCGUUCUUAACAUUUCCAAACAAAGAUGACAAAACUACAAAUCCGGAGACAUUGUGGAGAACUGAAAUAAAUCAACACAUCGCCUACGAGUGGCUGGAGGAGAAAGAAGAUGAAAGAGCUGUGGUUGUUAGAAUCAAGCCUCGAUGUGAAAUCGAGGUCGAUAGUUGUACAGGACGGCGCUUGCGCACCGUCAAAUUGUUCAAUCAGGAAUCGGUUUACUUGAUGACGUCAAGCAACAAAGGAAGAACAUAUACUUGCAUCAAAGUUCCUAAAGAAUAUGAUCUGGAAGAAUUUGCUCAAGCUCUUGCAGUAAAACCAAACUCGGACUUCGUAGAAAACAUGUUCAGUAUGCUGGACACGGAUAGAAGUGGAUACAUAUCUUUCAGGGACUUCCUGCACAUGGUUGUUAUAUUUUCAAAAGACAUCACUUACAUUGAGUUCAAAAGACCCGCCAACUUUGAUUACCAAUCCGGGCAGUGGGUUCGAAUCGCAUGCCUGACCCACGGCUCCAACGAGUACCACCCCUUCACCUUAACGUCGGCCCCUCACGAGGAUACCCUCUCCCUCCACAUCCGGGCUCUCGGGCCUUGGACCUGGAACAUACGACAAGAGUUUGACCCCGAGAAUCACAGGGACGGAUCUUAUCCCCCAGUUAAAAAGAUUGGCGUAUUUAGCUGCGGUCCCCCGGGGAUCACCAAGAAUGUGGAGCAGGGCUGUAUUGAGGCCAGUAAUAAUACCAGAGCGCUGUUCGAACACCACUUUGAAAACUUUUAAAUGGCAAGACUUUCAAAGAGGAUGUUGAAUCAUUGAUCUCUUGAGUUUCCUAAAUCUGUAAUCUAAUUAAUUUGCAAACUACAUGUACUAGGGUUGAUCCAAAAAUAAUGUCACUAUCAUUUGUUUGUUGCUAGCUUAAACAUUGUAAAUAGUUUUUCCGGGGCUUCUUAGAAAUUGAGGGGUUAGAUGUCAAGUUUAAAAUAAACAUCGUAAGUUUUGACUGGCCCCAGUUUAUUUAAUUAAUUAUCUUAACGGCGACA